rnacentral:other from 1 species
AAUCCCCUGCGGUGUUCGUCAGAGCCUUUAAUUCUUUGAACCGAUAAUUAAACAACGGUAGCGAACCAAUAGUGGUGCUGUUGUGCGCGUCCCACGCGGAAGCGCCUGAUGCGCCCGGAACGCGACCACUUGGACCUUCGGUUCAAGAAGCGGGUUCAACGGCAUCUGCGGGGGGCCU